rnacentral:lncRNA from 1 species
UUGGGUCACUGACAGCUUCUUGUCCAACUUGUGAGAUGCAGACUUUAGAAGUCAUUUCAUCUAGCCAAACUUUAGCAUACUAUCUCUUAAGUUUAUUCUACAAAAGAGAUGAGCUCAUCAGUGAGAAGUUUUAGAGUGGAAAGAAAGAAAAUUUUACAGACAGCAAUCUUAAGUCAAGAAUAGCUUUGCUGCUGGCAACAGUGGAUUAAUCUGACAAAUAGAGUCCUAUCAAUAAUACUUCAAUAACAGCAUGGGAAUAGUCUUAAGUGUCUUAAGUCUUUUACCUAAAGAAUUUUGACAACUCUAUUGCAUCUGAAUUCUUCCACCAGAAAUGCCUUCAAAAGGUAGGUUUGAG